GGCGGCGUGCCUAACACAUGCAAGUCGAACGAAGAAGUAAGCUUGCUUACUUCUUAGUGGCGAACGGGUGAGUAAUACAUAAGCAAUCUGCCCAUAUGUCUGGGAUAACCGUUGGAAACGAUGGCUAAGACUGGAUAGGAGCCUUGGAGGCAUCUCUGGGGCUUUAAAGGACCCGCAAGGGUACGCUUGAGGAGGGGCCUGCGGCGCAUUAGUUAGUUGGCGGGGUGAUGGCCCACCAAGACGGUGAUGCGUAGCCGGACUGAGAGGUUGAACGGCCACAUUGGGACUGAGAGACGGCCCAAACUCCUACGGGAGGCAGCAGUAGGGAAUUUUCGGCGAUGGGGGGAACCCUGACCGAGCAACGCCGCGUGAACGACGAAGUACUUCGGUAUGUAAAGUUCUUUUAAGAGGGAAGAAUGGCUGGCGGAAAAGCCAGAUUGACGGUACCUUUUGAAUAAGCCCCGGCUAACUAUGUGCCAGCAGCCGCGGUAAUACAUAGGGGGCAAGCGUUAUCCGG
rnacentral:rRNA from 1 species